CGGGGCGUAGCGCAGCCUGGUAGCGCACUUGCAUGGGGUGCAAGGGGUCGCGAGUUCGAAUCCCGCCGCCCCGACCA
rnacentral:tRNA from 224 species